rfam:Methylocella silvestris BL2, complete genome.
AGGCGGGACACCCUUCCCCAACGAAGGGCGCACAUCUGGAAGGAUGGCGAAA